GACGAACGCUGGCGGCGUGCUUAACACAUGCAAGUCGAACGGGAAACUUUAUUUCGGUAAAGGAUCUAGUGGCAAACGGGUGAGUAACGCGUAGGCAACCUGCCCUUAGGAUGGGGACAACGGCCCGAAAGGACCGCUAAUACCGAAUGCACUCUAACUUCCGCAUGGAAGAAAGAGGAAAGAUGGUGCAAGCCAUCGCCGAAGGAAGGGCCUGCGUCUGAUUAGCCAGUUGGUGAGGUAACGGCUCACCAAAGCGACGAUCAGUAGCCGGUCUGAGAGGAUGAACGGCCACAAUGGGACUGAGACACGGCCCAUACUCCUACGGGAGGCAGCAGUGGGGAAUCUUCCGCAAUGGGCGAAAGCCUGACGGAGCAACGCCGCGUGAGUGAAGAAGGUCUUCGGAUCGUAAAGCUCUGUUGUUGGGGACGAAAGAAAAGGGGAGGAAAUGCCCUUUUAAGACG
rnacentral:rRNA from 1 species